CACGAAUCAGGUGGGAAGACGUAGAACUUCAGUUGACAGCAGCACGCUCGUCAUGACAACAAUGAGGGAUGUGUUUGGACUGUACAGUCUACAGGCGCAAGGCUUUGGGACGUUUGGACUACAUUUAUUGGAGUGAUGGACAUCUGCCGCGGACAGACAGAUGCAGUAUCCCCGAGUUAGAGGAGAUCAUGAUCACACACUUGAAGCUGAGGAUCACCAUCAAAUGAAUGAGGGAUGUGUUUGGACCGUACAGUCAACAGAAGCAGAGCUCCGGGACGUUUGGACUACAUUUACUGGCGUGAUGGACAUCUGCUGCGGACAGGUCUGGAAACUUCAUUCAUGUUUAUACAUGUUCCGGGUUUUCCAGGACAUGUGGGCACCCUGGAUUGGAACAACAUUUGCUUCAGUUUAGUCAAGUUCAAUACUCUGUGUCUGCUGUUAGUGUGUGUCAGCUCCCUCAUGUGGACAACAGUUGAUAGAUCAAGUUUGUGUGUCUAAUGUAGCUCCUGAUCCUGAUGAGCCUCAGUCUAAUUAAAAACACCUGAAGCAACUAAUCAAGAUCUGCAGGACUCCAGUUCAUCUACAGAGUAUCUAAAUAUCCAAAUGAAGCUGUGUAUUACAUGAAUAAUUAAUAAAGUUCUUCAUAAAAAUCA